AACACAGAUGUCACUGUAAUAUGCUGAACAUAAAGUAAAAUGAAAGUUGUCAGAAAACUUAAUAUUCUUAUUGGAAUGAUGCUCCCCAGAAUACAUUAUUGUUGCUGGAACCAAUAAAACCCCAAGACAAGGAAAACAUGGCCUCCUGAUAUGCUAUGUAUACAUGUUUAUCUAUGUGGUAUUCCAUGUCUGCAUGAUAUGGAGGCACCACAGAUUAUAAGCACCAUAAUACGUAGUUCUGAGCAUCAAUCCACUGAAGUAUCAACAAGGGAUAUAAAAGAUGUUUUGCACAGUUUUGGACAUAAAUUUGAAGUGCUCAAACUGCUUUGAACAGAUAUUGCAUGAAAAAAUUAGUACUACACUGAAAUGGAAACAGAUACAAUGUCAAACAACUGUGUACAAUGGAAACAAGGGUGCAAUACUCCAUGGUGAAAACCAAAUGUUUGAAAAAUGAAUUGCCAAGAAUAAGGAACUUGAGAUAAUGAGUAACAAUCCAAUACAAUAUGGGAUACAGAUAGAAGAAAAAUUGAAGCACAUUGAUAUUUUCUAGUCUUGAAUGUAACAACAAGAAACCUUAAAAAUUAGUACUAAUUUGGGUGGACAAGUCUUCAUUCUAACUUGCAUUUUUGCUUCUUAAUCCACAUUCAAUCUCACACACUUUUGCCAACUAGACAGAUUUUCUCAAUGAAGGGACUAUUCAUAUUAUCACGCCUCAAGCAUAACAAUCCAAAAAAGCAUGGCAAAACCAAAAUCCUUAAAUCAACAGCAAAAUCCAAGAAAACAACACAAACAUAUAAAAUUAUAAGAACAAGAAAAACCCAAGAGCGGAUUCAUGUUGUUGAAAGUAAAAAAGCAAGAAAAGAAAAUAGAGAAGGUAGAAACCAAGUUUAGUGAAAUCCCCGGAAG
rnacentral:misc_RNA from 1 species